rnacentral:rRNA from 1 species
AAGGGCACCACAAGAACGCGUGGAGCAUGUGGCUUAAUUUGACUCAACGCGGGAAAUCUUACCGGGUCCGGACACACUGAGGAUUGACAGGCAAUAUUAAUAAUUUAUUUUUUCUGUGUGUCACCACAUCAGUAAUAUAUUUUAUUAUGUUAAAUAUGCUAGUCCUUUCAUGAUUAUGUGAUAGGUGGUGCAUGGCCGUUCUUAGUUCGUGGAGUGAUCUGUCUGCUUAAUUGCGUUUCACUAAGGGCCUAGAAAUUUACGUAUGUUGCGACACUUUGACCCCUCCUUUGUGUGCGUGCGUCUUUGUUUGUUUAGCUCAUACAAAUAGGUCCUGAAAGCAACGAACGUGACCGCAACCUCUUGUUGCUUUCGUAUAUAUAUGAUACAUGUAUUUUAUUAUACUAGUAUAAUAUAUUAUACAUACUGCAUAUAUAAUAUUAUGUGUCAUUGUCACUAACUAAAAAUAUAAGACUUGCCUUUUUUUUUAUGUUGUGUAAUGUCUUUACAUAUUUUGUAUAUCUUUAUGCACAGAAAGCCUUUUAAACUAGAGGGACCGCUGUUACUUUCUUAAACCAGAGGAAGGUUGCGGCAAUAACAGGUCUGUGAUGCCCUUAGAUGUUCCGGGCUGCACACGUGCUACAAUGAUUAUUGCAGUGAGCAUCUCAUUUAUUAUUCACACCGCAUGCGCGAGACCAUUAUUCUCUCUUCGCGAGGUUUUAAAUGUUAUCUCUGCGCGCGGUAAAGCCUACUUCGAAAGUAAGCGGGUAAUCAAUUAGAAGUAAUGAUUUCCUAUAUUUUAUUGUAUCAUUUUUUUGGUAUAGUAAUUCUGCACACAUAUAUACGGCAUCUUUACCCGGGUAGCCUUGUUGUUACUUUUUGUGCGUAUCGAUGUUUUUUUCCGUAUGUGCGAUUGUCAAUUCAUGGUGGGGACAGACCAUUGUUAAUUGUUGGUCUCGGUCUUAACUAGGAAUGCCUUGUACGGGUCUUUGGUUCAACAAACCACCCGGAAUACGUCCCUGCCCUUUGUACACACCGCCCGUCGCUCUUACCGAUGGACUUCUCUGUGAGUUUGAGGGACUGGGAACGCAUGUAAUAAAUUUUAUUUAUUUAUGCACACCUAUGGAAACUUAAACGAACAGUGUGGUCUAAAGGAAAGAGAAGUCGUAACAAGGCAUCAG